UUAAGCAUAUCAAUAGGCGGAGGAAAAGAAACUAACAAGGAUUCCCCUAGUAACUGCGAGUGAAGCGGGAAAAGCUCAAAUUUAAAAUCUGGUAGUCUUUGGCUAUCCGAGUUGUAAUCUAGAGAAACGUUAUCCGCGCUGGACCAUGUAUAAGUCUCCUGGAAUGGAGCGUCAUAGAGGGUGAGAAUCCCGUCUUUAACAUGGACUACCAGGGCUCUGUGAUGCGUUCUCAAAGAGUCGAGUUGUUUGGGAAUGCAGCUCUAAAUGGGUGGUAAAUUCCAUCUAAAGCUAAAUAUUGGCGAGAGACCGAUAGCGAACAAGUACCGUGAGGGAAAGAUGAAAAGAACUUUGGAAAGAGAGUUAAACAGUACGUGAAAUUGUUGAAAGGGAAACGCUUGAAGUCAGUCACAUUAACCGGGGAUCAGCCUUGCUUUUUGCUUAGUGUAUUUCCUGAUUAAUGGGUCAGCAUCAAUUUUGACCAGUGGAAAAAGAUUUAGGGAAUGUGACAUCCUUGGAUGUGUUAUAGCCCUUGGUCGUAUACAUUGGUUGGAAUUGAGGAACUCAGCAUGCCGCAAGGCCGGGUUUUUACCACGUUCAUGCUUAGGAUGCUGGCAUAAU
rnacentral:rRNA from 1 species